rnacentral:ncRNA from 2 species
AAAAUACUUUAGGGGUGUCUGCAAGGCAGGCUGAGAUUUUACCCUUGGAACCUGAUCUAGUUCAUACUAGCGUAGGGAAAAGUAAGUGUAUCUUU